rnacentral:miRNA from 1 species
UGGCGGUGUCUGGCGUAGAGCAGG